rnacentral:rRNA from 1 species
CCCUUCGAUGUUCUGGGCUGCACGCGCGCUACACUGAUGCGUUCAACGAGUGUACAACCUUGCCCGAUAGGGUUGGGUAACCUUUUGAACACGCAUCGUGAUGGGGAUAGAUUAUUGCAAUUAUUAAUCUUCAACGAGGAAUUCCUAGUAAUGGCGAAUCAUCAGUUCGUCGUGAUUACGUCCCUGCCCUUUGUACACACCGCCCGUCGCUCCUACCGAUUGAGCAAUCCGGUGAAUAUUUCGGACCGAAUAUCUGCGGGGCAACCCAUGGACGUUUGGAAAGUCAAGUAAACCUUNUNGCUUAGNGGAAGGAGAANUCGUANCA